rnacentral:rRNA from 1 species
UACGUAGGUGGCGAGCGUUGUCCGGAUUUACUGGGCGUAAAGCGCGCGCAGGCGGCUGUUCAAGUCCGAUGUGAAAUCUUCCGGCUUAACUGGAAAACGGCAUUGGAUACUGGACGGCUGGAAGGUGGGAGAGGGUAGCGGAAUUCCCGGUGUAGUGGUGAAAUGCGUAGAUAUCAGGAGGAACACCGGUGGCGAAGGCGGAUCUCUGGGCCUUACCUGACGACUGAGGCGCGAAAGCUAGGGGAGCAAACAGG